rnacentral:lncRNA from 1 species
AAUGUAUAAUUAUUUCUUUUUCAGUUCUAUUCUGGGCCAGCUUCAAGGAGAUAAACUUUAGAGUUUCAAUCAGAGCCAUUACCUCCGCUUGCUCGGCCGAUCUAACCUCCACAGAUUUAGUAAAACCAUCAAUAAUUCUUCGCAGAUUGUCCCUGCAAAUACAAGCUACAACUGCUGUGAAGGGGGAAAGUCGAGUUUGAGAUCCGGUAAAAGAGGCAUAUUCCUCCCUAUUCUGCUCUGAGGUCGAACUCUGUUCUUGGCUAACUUCAGAGUUUUCUUUUAGCUAAGUUGUUUUCCCCUUGUCUCCAUUGUCAGGCAUGCAAGGCACAGAGGUGAUUUCAAUUUCUUCCCACUCUACGGCAUCCACACCUAUUUCAAGAAUGCUGGACAGAUCCAGCGAAUAUUUGUUCUUUCUUUGUAUUUGGAAGAAACACUUGUCUUGCCAUCCCUGUUGGGUCACAACGCAGCUUCGUUUGGAGGGAGAUGUCGCUGCAAGGUGCCUAAGAUUCCACUAGUCUCUUCUCUGUUUAGAUCUGGGUUGCUUUGCUGAUUUCUUGCUUCUUCUCUUUCUUUCGACUUCAAAUCUGGCCUCACCCUUUGCUCUGCAUUGUAGCUGCUGUAUGAGUUUAGUUCUGUGUCAGAGGGGACAUUUUUUGGGUCUUGCUUUUUAUUUGUUGAUUGAUUAUUUCGUCUGGGCAACCCAUAGGGUAGAGAUAAGGCAUAUUUAUUGAUGUUUUCACCUUGCUUCUUCUUUGCAAUAGCUAGGCCCGUGGGUUUUUGAAUUACCUCAUAUACCAUUUUGUGUGGCCGUUCUAUCAUCACCCGUUCACCAACAUCCGAGUUAGUUAUUGUUGGCGAUAUGGCUGAGGCCUCUGGGUUGCAAGUAGAGCUAGCCAAUUGUAUGUUUCCAUGCAGGUGGAGCUGGCCUUCUUCAAUUUCCGUCCAUGAGACAUCAAGUGUUGGGGAGAAGGAGGUAUAGGAGUUGGGAAACGAGUCUUGAAAUUCUUCGCUUGUUGAUUUUGGUUCCAAGGUUGAUGCUGAAAGAUCUUCUAUACUAUACAAUGAGACCUCUUGAUUUGAUUUAAUUGUGAUAUUUCUGUGCAAGUAGGCCUGAAGGACUAUGUUGAUUUUGAGAACACCGGGCUUCGGGGGUUGCCAUUUGUUUUGUAAGUUGGCUUCUUUCUUCUGGUUUUUCGAUUUGGGAUUCCAAGUGGCAAAGCUGUCUUGUGAGGUGAUGGCUCUAAAAAGAGUGUGAUGGAAAUUGAGAGGACUUUUCCUGAAAAUAUGAUGAUUUUGACCCUUCCAUAUGCACCAAAGUACAUUCGCAAGUAGUUCAAAUUCUUGAGAUGUUCUAGAGCUUGUGUGCACUUUGUAUAACCAUUCAUCAAAGCGGGUCAAGCCUACUCGAUUCACUUCAAUUUGCAGGGAUGGCUCAGUCCAUAGCUGCGUGAUCCAAAGGCAUAGAAGAAAUGUGUGUUCUAUUGUCUCCGGUUCCAAACCACAUAAUGGAAAUAUAGGCGCAAGUACUAUUUUCCUUCUAUACAAGUUCUCCAUCGUAGGUAAAGCAUUUUGACAGGCACUCCAUAGAAAGAACUUUAUUUUGGGUUGUAUAGUCGCAUUCCAUAUUUGUUUCCAUAAUUCGGGGCUGACCUGGUAGGAUGUUGUUGGCAGUUGAUCUUGAAUAGCCAUUGUAUUCUUUCUAUGCAGCAAAUAUCCACUUUUCACCAUAUACCUUCCCGAUUUAUUACUCAACCAUAUCAAUUUAUCUUCCGUUGUUGGAAGUUCGAAAGGGGUAGCUAGAAUUUCCGUCAUUGUAUUAUGAUCAAACAUAGAUCGCAAUAAAUCUUCUUUCCACACAGCAUUUUCAAAGUCUAUCAACUCUACAACCUUGGAAGGUUCAUUUCUUGCCGCAGGUCCUCCGAUUACACCCAUUUUCAGCCACUUAUCUGUUUUGAUUGAGAUUUUCUGACCAUUUCCCACAGCCCACAUUACUUGAGGGGCGAUCACUUCUCUCCCAGCUAAUAGGCUUUGCCAUCCCCAAGAUGGGCGCGAUCCUUUUCCUGCUUGCCAAAAGGUACAAUUUGGGAAGUACAGGUCCUUCAUAAUUUGGCUUACUUGAUUGUUUGGGUGAUGAGAAAGGCGCCAAGCUUGUUUUCCUAACAUAGCCAUAUUGAAAGUGGAAAGAUCCUUGAAACCGAGACCUCCUUCCUUUUUUGUGAGCUUGAGAAGUUCCCAUUUUCUCCAAUGAAGACCCUUCGCUUUAUUAUUGUUUCUCCACUAGAAGUUAGCAAUCUUCUUUUCUAUAUCUCUGAUAAUAGAUAAUGGGAUUUUAAAAUGGACAUAGCAUACUGGGGUAUAGCUUGCACAACUGAUUUGAGAAGUGUUUCCUUACCCACUCUUGAUAACAAGUUUUCCUUCCAACUUUCUAGCUUCAUAUUUAUUUUAGUUAGAAUCCACGUGAACACUUCUUUUUUGGAUGCACCCCAGUCCGAAGGGAUUCCUAGAUAUUUCCCAGUUUUCAUAAUAAUUGGAACUCUCAGCUCAUACGCCAUAUUUCUCCGUGGUUGUUCUAGACAGCCCUUAGUAAAGAAUAUCCCUGAUUUAUUGCGGUUGACAGCUUGACCUGAUGCAUAACAAUACUGAUGCAGGAUAGACGCUAAGUUUUGACAUUCCAAGAUUGUACCAUGAAAGAAAAAAAUGGAGUCAUUUGCAAAUAAUAGAUGGGAAAGAGUGGGACAAUUUCUAUUCAACCUGAUACCACAGAUUGUACCUGUUUGUAUGGCUUGCUUUAACAUGUGGGAUAGGACAUUUGCCACAAUGAUGAAUAAAUAAGGGGAUAAUGGAUCACCUUGGCGAAUUCCCCGAGUUGGCUGGAAAUAAGGCAAGGAUACACCAUUAAUCUUGAUGUUGUAGGAGACAGUUGUAACACACUGCAUGACCAUUUUAACCCAUUCUUCACAAAACCCCAUCUUCAGCAGGCAUGCUUGAAGGAAAUCCCACUCUAUCCGAUCAUACGCCUUUUGCAUAUCAAGUUUGAGGACCGCCUGGAAGUGCUGCUGUCGAUCUCGAGUUCUUAGUCUGUAAAGGACUUCCUGGACAAUAAGGAUGUUAUCCUAUAUUUGCCGUCCUUCCACAAAUGCACUAUGUUCUAGUUCAAUUAGGGCUGGUAGUAGGGGUUUCAAUCUAUUUGUGAUGAUUUUGGAAAUGAUUUUGUAGGCAAAAUUGCACAGGCUUAGGUCUAAAUUGUUCUAUUUUUUCUGGGUUUUGGAUUUUAGGGAUAAGAGUGAUUUGUGUUUGGUUAAAGGCUGGGUUUAGGGAUCCGGUCUCGAAGAAGUGUUGAAUCUCCCGAUAGAUAUCUUCUCCAAUAUCUCGCCAGUGGUGUUGAAAAAAGAUGCCAUUUAACCCAUCCGGCCCUGGAGCUUUAUUAGGUCCCAAUUGGUAUGCAGCUUCUUUAAUUUCGUCCAUAGUAACAAGUGUAGUAAGCUUUUGAUUUAUAGUUACAUCCACCAAGUUGGGAAUAUAAUCAAGGAUGGGCUGAAAGUUCCGUUGUCCCCCCAGACGUAUAUAGGUUUUUGAAAAAGUUAACAGUCAUGUCCUGAAGUGCUUCUUGAUUGCGAAUCCACUCCUCCUGAUUGUUUAAUAACAUGGAAAUUCGAUUCCGGUUUCUCCGUUGAAUAGUUGUUGCAUGGAAAAUUUUGGUAUUUUUAUCUCCCCAUUGCAACAACUUAAUUCUUGAUCUCAUGCCCCAGAACAUCUCCUCUUGUCGCCAUAGGGAUUCGAUUUCUUGGUUAAUUUGUUGAAUUCUUUGCUGAUCAUAGUCACAUUCUUGGCUGUUCAUGAAGGUCAGAAGUUUCUUUUUCAACCUUUCUAUCCUUUUAUAUGCAUUGGGAUAUCUUCUUUUACUCCACACAGCAAGUUUUGUAGCUACUAACUUUAGUUUCUCAACCAUGUUUUUACCUUGGGAUUCUUCCCAAGUUCGUUUCACAAGGCUCGUACAAUCCUCAUCUUCAGCCCAGUACCGCUUCAUACCUAAAAUCUGUUUUUUGCAAUCUGUUUUAGGAUACAGGGACAACGAAAGAGGGCUGUGAUAAGAGCCUAUUGCUGGUAGCGCUAAAACCUCCGCAGCUGGAUAAGCUAUUCUCCACUCCAAGGUACAUAAGGCUCUAUCCAACCUUUUCUUGACAUUUUUCCCACCACCUCUUCGAUUUGUCCAUGUAAAUGCGCAUCCUUUACUUUCUAGAUCGAUAAAAGAACAUGCAUGUAGGAAAUCUCUGAAAGCCGUAAGACGAUAGUUUUCUGACAACCUCUUUCCCACUUUUUCCCAAUGAUACAAAAUUUCAUUAAAGUCGCCAAUACACAGCCAAUGUAGAUGAUUGAAGAUGCUUAGUCGUUGUAUUUCUUCCCAUAAUAAUAUUCUAGCUUUAAAACAAGUUGGAGCAUACACGAAAGUGAUUCUCAUUAACUGCUUAUUUUCUAAAGUUGACAUUGCACAUUGAUAAAGUUUCUGGAAGAAGAAUCCACAACUAUGGUAACCGUUUCAUCCCAAAAGAUUGCCAAACCCUCUGAAAAACCAUCUGGAUUCUCCAAAAAAACAAUUUUGAAACUUCAAUCUACAACGCCAUUUUUGCACCAGUGGCUCUCUAUUUUUGGUUUUCAUUAAACAAAUAAUAUUAGGUCGUUCUUGAGACACUAGGGCUCUUAAAGCUCAAAUUGUCAAGAAUGAGCCCAACCCCUGACAAUUCUAACUUAUUAUUUUCAUGGCUGACCUGGUGGCUUAUUCAGGCUAGCCACCAAAGUCUAGUGCAUUGAUUUCUCCUCUUCCGAGAUAGGAAUGUCCACAAGCUGCAAUUUAUCAGUAGAAGGUGCCUUUGACGAUUGAGCACCAUACGGGCAGAAUCUCUUUCUUUUUUUCGAAGUAGGUAGUUUAGUACUUUUAAUUUUACCCUUGUUUC